rnacentral:rRNA from 1 species
UAGGGAAUCUUGCGCAAUGGGCGAAAGCCUGACGCAGCGACGCCGCGUGAGGGAUGAAGGCCUUCGGGUUGUAAACCUCUUUCAGCAGGGACGAAGCCGCAAGGUGACGGUACCUGCAGAAGAAGCCCCGGCCAACUACGUGCCAGCAGCCGCGGUAAUACGUAGGGGGCGAGCGUUGUCCGGAUUUAUUGGGCGUAAAGAGCGCGUAGGCGGCCCUUCACGUCGGAUGUGAAAGCUCGAGGCUCAACCUUGAGAGGCCAUUCGAUACGGAAAGGCUUGAGGCAGCUAGGGGAGAUUGGAAUUCCUGGUGUAGCGGUGAAAUGCGCAGAUAUCAGGAGGAACACCGGUGGCGAAGGCGGAUCUCUGGGGCUGUUCUGACGCUGAGGCGCGAAAGCUGGGGGAGCGAACAGG